AAGAUUUUAGGUUAAAAUAAACUUACAACCUUCAAAGUUGUGAAUAUCACUAAGAAAGAUAAGUCUUA
rnacentral:tRNA from 1 species